rnacentral:rRNA from 1 species
UUUCGCCCGCCGGCGACCGGCGCACGGGUGAGUAACACGUAUGCAACCUGGCCGCCACAGGGGGAUAACCCGCGGAAACGCGGCCUAAUACCCCGUGACGCCACCGGAGGGCAUCCUCCGGUGGCCAAAGGAGCGAUCCGGUGGCGGAUGGGCAUGCGGCGCAUUAGCUAGACGGCGGGGUGACGGCCCACCGUGGCGACGAUGCGUAGGGGUUCUGGGAGGAAGGCCCCCCACACUGGGACUGAGACACGGCCCAGACUCCUACGGGAGGCAGCAG